UUCGGACCUCCAAUCAAGCAAGAGGACCCGCUGAAUUUAAGCAUAUAACUAAGCGGAGGAAAAGAAAACUAAAC
rnacentral:rRNA from 1 species